CAAACAGCUCCUGCAGUCAAUACACUUUUAAUAUUAAUACUGCUGGAGCCCAGGAUUCAAAUGCAUAUUUUCAAUGGAAUAUCAUAUUAGAUUUGGAAAUGGAUGGAUGGAUGGCGUCAAAAUUGAGAGCGGGCUGAAUACUAAGUCGGGAAGAUAAAUAUGCCGGGAGAAUUUGCUUCCUCCCUUGAGCUCGCUGCUGUUUGAUGGACAGCCAUGUGUGAACCCACCCAGAUCAUUGCUCCAUGGGGAUGAAUAUAUUGGGUUUGGAGAGAUGGGUUGUGCUGUGGCUCCUGUGACAGCUCAGACACCCCAGCCUGGGGGUGCCCAUCAUGCCUGUGCCAGUGGAGGGUUCAGGUCUAGGGACACAUGGGGUGAUCGUGGGAGAUGUUGAGGUCCCCCCAUCGCUCCCACUGCAUCCAGCCAUGGUGAAGGGAUGGGAUUUGCCACUGGGACUCCUCCAGUGAGCACCCAAGGGCUCAAGAGGUGCGUGAUGGGCUCUGCUGGCUGCAGGGUGAGGAGCCACCGGGCUGGAAAUCACACCAGUGAACACUGACCUAUAGGUGGCUGCAAUUCCCUAAAUGACAGGCCUUAAAAGAGAGGUAAUUCCCCCAUAAUUCUCCUUAAAUGCCCACUCUGGAGACAAUGACAGGGUAAUUUUACCCACUGUGUCCAGCCUGCAAUGCAAGAGCUGUUGUGAUGAGAGGAGCGCAGGGAUCUCACCAUGUCAGUCCAGCUGCUUUCCUCUGUCUCUCAAUGUCACUUUGCUGAGAUGCCACUGAGACCUGGAAUGCUGCUGUGACCCGGGAUGCUGCGUGUCCCUGUGAUGCUGCUCUGACCACAGCUAUUGCCAGGACCUGGGUUGCAGCACUUCCCCAGGAUGUUGUGGGAUGGUGCAAUGACCCGGGAUGGAAAAGAGAAGCUCCUGAAGGGGAGACCUUAGAGCAGCUCCAGUGCCUAAAGGGGCUCCAGGAAACCUGGAGAGGGGCUUUGGACAAGGGCCUGGAGGGACAGGCCAAGGGGAAUGGCUUUAACCUGCCAGAGGGGAGAUUGAGAUGAGCUCUUGGGCAGAAGCUCUUCCCUGUGAGGGUGCUGAGGUGCUGGCCCAGGGUGCCCAGAGAAGCUGUGGCUGCCCCAUCCCUGGCAGUGUUCAAGGCCAGGUUGGACACAGGGGCUUGGAGCAACCUGCUCUAGUGGAAGGUGUCCCUGCCCAUGGCAGGGGGUUGGAGCUGGAUGAGCUUUAAGGUCCUUUCCAACACAAACCAUUCCAUGGUUCUGUGAUUCUGGGAUGCUGCAGGGACUCAGGACACCGGAGCAGACUGAGCUGUUGCACUUCCCUGGGCUGCUGCAGCAACUUGGGCUGCUGCGUCUCCCCAAGGCGCUGCUGCAACCCAGGAUGCUGUGUCUCCCAUGGGUGCCGUUGGUGCGGGGGGAGGCAGGGAAGUGUCCCCACCACCCUCCCCAGCUCACCUCACUCCUCUGCCCCUCUCUCCAGUCGACUUCAUUGGUGGGUUCGACUCCUACGGCUACCAGGCGCCACAGAAGACAUCACACCUACAGCUACAGCCACUCUACACAUCCGGGUAACCUGCCCCGGAUCCAGCCCCAGCCCAGCGUGGGAGCCAGAGGCGACAGGACCCCUGAGAGUGAACUGUCCCACACCCAAUGACAAGACCCCCAUCAAGGGCGGGGGGACACGAUGCCGAGACACCCAUCCGCUCCCUGCACCCUGCAAGACCCCCAAGGAUGGAGCCAGGAGCUGCACGUCCAUCCAGCCUGGAAGCCUCCGAGCUCAAACCACACACCCACGGCAGGACUGGAGGGAGGGGGCUGGAUACGGGGGGACCCCCCCACGCUGUGCUCGCCCCUCAGGCUCCCGCAGCCUCCCCGGGAUGGGGACACGGGGACACGCAGGGAUGUGGCAUCACUCACUGGACACCGUUUUCUUCUGUUUCUCCCAGCCUGGAUUUCCCUUGGAGCAGCAAGGCCCUUCCCGAUGUUCCGGGCAGGAAGGGGCUGGAGCGGGAUUGGGGUGAAACCCAGCUGGUUUGGAGCAAACUGGGACCAGGGAUGAGGGAUGAACAGUGCUUUGGGGACAGGGACCAGCUUCGUCCUUCAGGGCUGGGACAUUUGCCUGAAACUCCGGGUCUGGGAGUUGGGCUGGCCCCAAAAAUGGGGGUUUUGCUCCCAGAAGGAAUUUCCCAGCCCCGCCUGGCUGGAUGGAACAGUGCCAAAGGGGUUUGGUCCCGGAUGAUUCCCUUCACCAUCAGGAGCUGGAUCCGGCUGUCAGCAUCUUGUCUCAAUUCCCCCCCAGCCUGGGGACAUGGAGGGACACAGAGCACCCCGAAUCCUCCUGCAAGCCCCCCUAUCCCUCCCACAUUUUGGGGGGGGGUCUUGCUCCAAGUUGGCAAUACUGACGCUGCUUUGACACAGCCCCUUUCCGGCUGUUUUAACGCAUCUCAUGAAUGUUUUGGGUUGGUUUUCUCCUUUCUAAUUACUGGGUUUGGUUAAUUUGUAUUAAUUUGAAGUGCCUGAGCAGUGGCUGAACAUGACCCCCCCCCCCGGCCGACACCGUGCCUUCAGCAGCGCUCUGCCCACUCCAGGGCACCCCAGGGCCUCCAACCCCCCCCCCGGUCCCUCCAUCCAUGUGGGAUCUUGGGGGCAAAUCCACCCCAUCAGGUCCGGCAGCAGGAGCGGGGUGACAUCGGGACAUGGGGAAUGGUUAUUUGGGGGGGGGGGGGAAUGUUCAAGAUCCAUUGGGCAGCGAUUGCUUUGUGAAUGGAGAUGAGCUGGGAAGUAACACCCCAGAGGAAGCUGGAAGGAAAAGGAAGUUCCAUGAAGCAUCCCAGCUCCCCAUAUCCUCCUUCUUCUCCUUUGUUUCCUGGAGGUGGGAUGUGGUGUCUCCUGGAUCUGGCCCCAAGCCCACCCUUGGCAUCUGUGAGUGUGUGUGUGGGGGGUGAAUUCUGCCUCCCAGGGGUUUGUCCUCCCAUCCUGGGGGUUAUACGGGGAUAGUCUUUGUGUUUCCCAACACGCAGCUGGGAAGUGCCAACAGCCGAAGCUGCCCAAGCCCAAACCCCAAAUCCCCCUGGAUUUGGCUGCAUCCCCCCACCAGCCCCUCCAUCGCCUCCAGCCAAGCUGCGAACUCUACAGGCAAUAAUUUUUCCACCUUUUCCCCUAUUUUUUCCAAGGAAAAUAAUGUUUUUCAGGUGACAGAUUCCCCCUUAUCCCCAAAACACAUCCCCAGCCCCAAGCGCUGCCCAGCCCCAGCAACAACAGCAUCUCCAGGGCUGAUUUUCCUCUCCAGGACCAAGGAUGCUCUCGCUGACCGGUGGGAUGGGAUGCAAUAGGAUGGGAUGGGAUGCGAUGGGGUGGGAUGGGAUGGGCAGGGCAGGCACCCACCUGCUCAAACCCCUUCUCCAAGCCAGCAGGAAGCAGAAGGAAAAGCCUGGAGUCAUUCUAACUCAUUCAGAGGAGCUGCCCUCCCUCCUGAGCUCGGUGGGAGCCAGGCACCGGCGCCGCAACCUUUUGGGUUUCCUUAUUCCCCCUUUUCCGUUGGCUUGUUUUUAUACAGGACUGUAUUUGUAAUGUGAACGAGGAUUUCUUUUCUAUUCUGUAAUUAUAAAAGGCGAAGGAAGGUUUCAGCUGAUGCUGUCCCACUCUGGGGCAUUUCCCUUCCUGGUGCACUUGAAUCGAUUAAAAUCUGGU
rnacentral:lncRNA from 1 species